rnacentral:rRNA from 1 species
GACGAACGCUGGCGGCGUGCCUAAUACAUGCAAGUCGAACGCAGUGGGGACGGGUGAGUAACACGUGGCUAACCUCCCAUCAGAGGGGAUAACACUUGGAAACAGGUGCUAAACCGAUCCUGAUGGAUGUACCUGCGGUGCAUUAGCUAGUUGGUGAGGUAACGGCUAACCAAGGCUACGAUGCAUAGCCGAGCUGGUAGGGUGAUCGGCCACACUGGGACUGAGACACGGCCCAGAAUCCUACGGGAGGCAGCAGUGGGGAAUCUUGGGCAAUGGAGGAAAGUCUGACCGAGCAACGCCGCGUGGGUGAAGAAGGUUUUCGGAUCGUAAAACUCUGUUGUUAGAGAAGCGGUAUCUAAACAGAAAGCAACGGCUAACUACGUGCCAGCAGCCGCGGUAAUAC